rnacentral:tRNA from 1 species
GACGGUAUAGCUCAGUGGUGGAGUGCAUACCUGGCAUGCAUGAGGUCCUGGGUUCAAGCCCCAGCACUUCCA